rnacentral:rRNA from 1 species
CCUACGGGCGUCAGCAGUGGGGAAUAUUGGGCAAUGGGCGCAAGCCUGACCCAGCAACGCCGCGUGAAGGAAGAAGGCUCUCGGGUUGUAAACUUCUUUUAUCAGGGACGAAGAAAGUGACGGUACCUGAUGAAUAAGCCACGGCUAACUACGUGCCAGCAGCCGCUGUAAUACGUAGGUGGCAAGCGUUAUCCGGAUUUACUGGGUGUAAAGGGCGUGUAGGCGGGAAAGCAAGUCAGAUGUGAAAACCAUGGGCUCAACCUGUGGCCUGCAUUUGAAACUGUUUUUCUUGAGUACUGGAGAGGCAGACGGAAUUCCUAGUGUAGCGGUGAAAUGCGUAGAUAUUAGGAGGAACACCAGGGGCGAAGGCGGUCUGCUGGACAGCAACUGACGCUGAGGCGCGAAAGCGUGGGGAGCAAACAGGAUUAGAUACCCCUGUAGUC